CUGCUGGCCAGGGAGCUGUGCCGUGUCUCUCGCUCCUUCUGCCGCAGCAUCGCCGUCAGCCUGCUCCCGCGGCUCAGCAGGGAAGAGCCCCUGUGGGAACUGCCUGCCCUGGCGUUCCUGGUGGAGGUCCUGCACUGCCUGAACCCCAGACAAUGUGGGCCCAGCGUCCUACAGAUAAUUUCAAGG